rnacentral:rRNA from 1 species
GAUUGAACGCUGGCGGCAUGCUUUACCCAUGCAAGUCGAACGGCAGCGCGGGCUUCGGCCUGGCGGCGAGUGGCGAACGGGUGAGUAAUGCAUCGGAACGUGCCCAGUAAUGGGGGAUAGCCCGGCGAAAGCCGGAUUAAUACCGCAUACGACCUGAGGGUGAAAGCGGGGGACCGAAAGGCCUCGCGCUAUUGGAGCGGCCGAUGUCGGAUUAGCUAGUUGGUGGGGUAAAGGCUUACCAAGGCGACGAUCCGUAGCUGGUCUGAGAGGACGACCAGCCACACUGGGACUGAGACACGGCCCAGACUCCUACGGGAGGCAGCAGUGGGGAAUUUUGGACAAUGGGGGCAACCCUGAUCCAGCCAUGCCGCGUGCGGGAAGAAGGCCUUCGGGUUGUAAACCGCUUUUGUUCGGGAAGAAAUCCUCUGGGCUAAUACCCCGGGGGGAUGACGGUACCGGAAGAAUAAGCACCGGCUAACUACGUG